AUGUUAAGUGUCCUUACCUCCUUCCUGUGUUUUCUAUGUGCGGCGCUGAGGACGGCUCAAAUUUAUGAUGCUCACAACCCUCUUUGCCGAGACAUAUUGAGGCCAAAUAACAACAUGGACUUAGCAAGUCUCACCGCAGUGUGGUGGGCUGUGGCUCUUCUUUUCAUCACCGUGUUAGUCACCAAGAUUUCAAGAGCAAGAGUCACCACCGUUGAUCUACAUCGUACAACAGGUCAACUUCCUCCCCUGGUGAAUGGAGUUGCUCUCCUAAAACUAUUACCUACCCUUUUGAACAAGGGUCUACCGGCAAUGGUGAAUGAUCUAUAUGUCAAAUAUGGCAGUGUAUUCAUGGUAAGUUCAUUUGGAGUGAAGGUAACACUCUUGAUCGGGCCAGAGGUGACGGCUCAUUUCUUCCAAGGUCUGGAGUCGGAGAUUAGCCACGGUAAUCUGUUUGAGUUCACUGUGCCCAUGUUUGGUGAAGCAGUGGGUUAUGGCAGAGAUACCGCCACCCGAACUGAACAAAUGCGCUUCCAUAUCGAAGCACUGAGACCAUCAAGGUUGAGGAGCCAUGUUUAUCCCAUGCUUCAAGAAGUGGAGGGUUACUUUGCAAAAUGGGGAGAGGAAGGCAUUGUUGAUCUAAAGCUUGAGUUCGAGAAGUUACUCAUGUUGAUCUCAAGCAGAUGUUUGCUCGGAAAAGAGGUUCGGGAGAACAUGUUUGAUGAAGUCUACACACUUUUUCACGAGAUUGAAGAUAAUGGUGUGACCUUGAUUAGCUUCUUGUUCCCAUAUCUCCCAACUCCAGCAAAUCGGAAGCGAGAUAAAGCGCGCAUCAGGCUAACACAAAUCCUUUCUGAUGUCGUCGAUUCCCGUAAGAACUCCGGCAGAGUUGAGGAUGAUACAUUGCAGAAAUUGAUCGACUCUAAGUACAAAGAUGGUCGCCCUACAACGGUAGAAGAGGUAGUCGGGCUAAUCAUUGGCCUGUUGUUUGCUGGAAAACACACCAGCUCUCACACUAGUACUUGGACUGCAGCUUGUUUACUCAGCCAUCCAACUUUCUUGAGAGCUGCCAUUGAGGAGCAACAACAAAUCAGUAGCAAAUACAAGGACAUGGGGCUAGACUACAAUGCAUUUAUAGAGAUGGAUACACUACAUAGUUGCAUCAAGGAGGCGCUAAGGAAGCACCCUCCAACACCAAUGCUGGUCCGCAGGGCACAUAAGCAAUUCAUGGUGAAGACGAAAGAGGGCAAAGAAUAUGACAUCCCGCAAGACCACAUCGUAGCAACUCCUACUAUAGUGACUAAUAACAUCUCUUAUAUCUAUAAGGACCCUCAGGUAUAUGAUCCAUGCCGGUUUGGCCCCGAAAGAAGAGAGGACAAAGUUGGUGGCAAGUUCUCUUACACGUCAUUUAGUGGUGGAAGACACAUUUGCACCGGGGAGGCCUAUGCUUACAUGCAACUUAAAGUGAUAUGGAGCCAUUUGCUGAGGAACUUUGAGCUCGAAUUGAUCUCCCCUUUCCCCAAGACAGACUGGGGCAAGUUCUUGCCAGAGCCACAAGGAAAACUACUCGUAAAAUAUAAGAGGAAUGGCAUUUUGUAG
rnacentral:rRNA from 1 species